UACGAAGGGGGCUAGCGUUGUUCGGAUUUACUGGGCGUAAAGCGCACGUAGGCGGAUCGUUAAGUCGGGGGUGAAAUCCUGGAGCUCAACUCCAGAACUGCCUUCGAUACUGGCGAUCUUGAGUCCGGAAGAGGUGAGUGGAACUCCUAGUGUAGAGGUGGAAUUCGUAGAUAUUAGGAAGAACACCAGUGGCGAAGGCGGCUCACUGGCCCGAUACUGACGCUGAGGCACGAAAGCGUGGGGAGCCAAACGGGG
rnacentral:rRNA from 1 species